rnacentral:rRNA from 1 species
AGAGUUUGAUCCUGGCUCAGGACGAACGCUGGCGGCGUGCCUAACACAUGCAAGUCGAACGAGGUUCAUUCAGUAGCAAUACUGGAGAAGACCAAGUGGCGAACGGGUGAGUAGCACGUGAGCAACCUACCCCGAAGACCGGGACAACACCGGGAAACCGGUGCUAAUACUGGAUAUCCCCAUCGGAUCGCAUGGUUUGAUGAGGAAAUGGAUUCCGCUUCGGGAGGGGCUCGCGGCCUAUCAGCUAGUUGGUGAGGUAACGGCUCACCAAGGCUUCGACGGGUAGCUGGUCUGAGAGGACGAUCAGCCACACUGGGACUGAGACACGGCCCAGACUCCUACGGGAGGCAGCAGUGGGGAAUCUUGCACAAUGGGCGAAAGCCUGAUGCAGCAACGCCGCGUGAGGGACGAAGGCUUUCUGAGUUGUAAACCUCUUUCAG